rnacentral:SRP_RNA from 10 species
ACUGGGCAUUGUGGUAUCCCCCUGUAGUCUCAGCUGCUCAGGAGGCUGAGGUGGGCAGAUGAGUUGAGCCCAGGAGUUCUGCACAAUAGCGUGCUGUGUUGAUGAGAUGUCUACACUAAGUUCAGCAUCAGUGUGGUGACCUCCGGGGGGUGAGGGACCCCCAGGUUGCCUAAGGAGGGCUGAACCGGCCCAGGUCAGAAACAGAGCAGGUCAAAAGUGUCCUGCUGAUCAGUAGAGGGAUCAUGCCUGUGAAUAGCCACUGCGCUCCAGCCUGGGCAAUACAGCAUGACCUCAUCU